AUUCCAGCUCCAAUAGCGUAUAUUAAAGUUGUUGCAGUUAAAAAGCUCGUAGUUGGAUUUCUGGCGGGAGCGAUCGGUCCUUCACUCAGUGUUGGAACCUGAUUGUCUCCUGCCAUCCAUGGAGAAAACUUAUCUGGCAUUAAGUUGUCGGGUAGGCAAUCUCCAUCUUUUACUGUGAAAAAAUUAGAGUGUUCAAAGCAGGCUUAUGCCGUUGAAUAUAUUAGCAUGGAAUAAUAAGAUAGGACUAUGGUACUAUUUUGUUGGUUUCUAGGAAUUAAGUAAUGAUUGAUAGGGAUAGUUGGGGGUGCUAGUAUUCAGCGGCCAGAGGUGAAAUUCUUGGAUUCGGUCAAGACUAACUUAUGCGAAAGCAUUCACCAAGGAUGUCUUCAUUA
rnacentral:rRNA from 1 species